UACGGGGGGGGUAAGCGUUGUUCGGAAUUACUGGGCGUAAAGGGCUCGUAGGCGGCCAACUAAGUCAUACGUGAAAUCCCUCAGCUUAACUGGGGAACUGCGUGUGAUACUGGAUGGCUUGGAUUUGGGAGAGGGAUGCGGAAUUCCAGGUGUAGCGGUGAAAUGCGUAGAUAUCUGGAGGAACACCGGUGGCGAAGGCGGCAUCCUGGACCGGCAUUGACGCUGAGGAGCGAAAGCCAGGGGAGCAAACGGG
rnacentral:rRNA from 1 species